CCUACGGGUGGCAGCAGUGGGGAAUAUUGCACAAUGGGGGAAACCCUGAUGCAGCAACGCCGCGUGAGUGAAGAAGUAUUUCGGUAUGUAAAGCUCUAUCAGCAGGGAAGAAGAAAGACGGUACCUGACUAAGAAGCCCCGGCUAACUACGUGCCAGCAGCCGCGGUAAUACGAAGGGGGAAAGCGUUAUCCGGAUUUACUGGGGGUAAAGGGGGCGUAGACGGGUGUGCAAGUCUGAAGUGAAAGCCCGUGGCUUAACCGCGGAACUGCUUUGGAAACUGUAUAGCUGGAGUGUGGGAGAGGCAGGCGGAAUUCCUAGUGUAGCGGUGAAAUGCGUAGAGAUUAGGAGGAACACUAGUGGCGAAGGCGGCCUGCUGGA
rnacentral:rRNA from 1 species